ensembl:lncRNA
GUUUACGACAAGGAUCAAAUUUUCUCUCCUAAAUGGGGCUCGUCUUUUUGGCGCUUUACGGCAGUUCUGGAAAAAAGAGUCGGGAAAACUCGGCAGAUUCUGGCACUGACUGCGGCUGAGACGUGAGGAUGAUGGCGACGGUGUCCAUGGCGUUCUAGACAGUUUUAACUCAGCAUGAUAAAAAAUGACACUACAAGCAGUUUGUCGCCUGGCGAAACCAGACCGGAGAGAAACAAAGAGCCAGAAGGGAAAGAGUGUCUACGUCUCGGAUGUCUCCCCUGUCCUGUGAUUCACCAUUAAACCCCUGUUCCGCGAUGUCAGGUGAAAGCGUCCUUCAUUCCUCGUCACUCCACGUCCUCCUCUCCGUUCACCUGCCGCGUCAUGCCCGCAUGGACGUGACAGUUACACAGUAAAGAUACAUACAAUGAAAAAAAUAGUUUUAUGUGAAUUACACCGUUUAAAAUAAAUUCUAAAGUGGAGUUUACAUUCUGAAUGUAAAUUUAUACAGGGGGUCACAGAUGGUCCCGUUUUCGUUCCGGUGUUGCGCAAACCACCAGGCUUUGGAAAUGCAUCUGAUUUUUAAAAAAGAAAUUGGGAGAUGCUUCCAUCCUCGCUGCCUGAUGAGUUUAUUUUGAUCUGCCAGGAUUUAUGAACUGAACAAUAACUUGGUGUGCCAGAACACACACACCCACUCAUUUCCCAUUUUAGGUUUUAAUCUGUUAAACAAGUUAUGUUUUAACACCCUUGUAAUUAUCACAUUAGUUCCCAUCCCAAAACUGAGAUGAACAAGUACUGAAACAGAGAUGUGAGACUGUGGGGAGUUUUUACUUUUGCAAAUUAUUCAGUGUCAGAUUACACUGUCGGCUUUUAACUGUGGAAAAGAAAAAUGAAAAUUCGAUGCUUUGCUGCAUAGAUGCAGAUGGAGUUAGAACUGAGUUUGAACCACCAUGUUGCUGCGAUCUCCAGAUCCUGCAGGUUCACUCUCUACAACAUUCGCAAGAUUCUGUCUUUUCUCUCACUACAGGCUACGCAGCUCCUCGUCCAGGCAAUGGUCAUCUCCAAACUCGACUAUUGUAACUCUCUCCUGGCUGGAGCCUCUGCAGUCACCAUAAAACCACUCCAGAUGAUCCAAAAUAUGGCAUCCCAUCUCAUCUUCAAUCAGCCAAAAUACACCCAUGUUACGCCUCUUCUCACCUCUCUCCACUGGCUCCCGGUAGCUGCUCGCAUUGAGUUCAAAUCCUUGAUGGUUGCCUACAGGGCUGUAAAUAGAACUGCACCCUCCUACAUCAAUACAAUACCUGGCUACACUCCGGCAUGCCCUCUCAUAUCUGCAAAUGAAAUGAGACUGAAAAUUCCCUUUUCACGGGGUCUCCGAUUCCAAUUAACUCUGUUCUCCUUUGUUGUCCCUGGCUGGUGGAACAACCUGCCCUCCUCCAUUCGACUAGCCGAGACUACCACCACCUUUAAGAAGCAGCAUGUCCUCCUGUGGCCUGGAGUGUUUGAGGACGAGCGACUUGCAGCUUUCUGCCUCGUCUUACCAGCGCACCGGCCUGGCACCCCACCGCGGACGACUCAACAUACAGAUGCAGCUCUGCUACACUCUGUACAGCCCCCAGUGUAUGUUACAGCGUAUUAUCCAAUCCCACCCAUGACCACCAGGUGGAGUAGAAGCACUAGAAGCACAGUAAUGGAGGCUCCCACGCAGGCCCGUAAUCAGAUAUCAGUGAUAAUGAAGAUGAAUAUGAAGAUGACAUAAGACGUUCCUCUCAGACACCAGGGAACACGUCACUCAGAUGGCUCUCUACUGCAUCCUGCAUGGCUAUACAUCCCUCCACCAGAUUGUGAAAUUCAAAAUGCCAGGAAGAAAGUAUGAACCGGUGGUGGGAUUUCUCAACAAUUACAGGAGACAAGGAGGAAACAAGGGCCCACGGCUCCCAUUCCAAACCAAGAUGUCCACAUGACCAAUACUUCACACUGGCCAAUAAUGUAAUAAUAAAAAAGGGAAGGUGCAGGGUUCCUGGAUUCA